rfam:Duganella sp. Root198D2 contig_27, whole genome shotgun sequence.
UGAGUGCCGGGCAACCAGCAUUGACCGCCCGUGAGAAGACAGCAGAAGGCAUAGUAGGCGCAAGGCAGGCGCUGAAGGCC